rnacentral:rRNA from 1 species
AGAACGAACGCUGGCGGCAGGCCUAACACAUGCAAGUCGAACGGGGUAGCAAUACUCUAGUGGCAGACGGGUGAGUAACACGUGGGAACCUUCCUUUAGUAUGGAAUAGCCCGGCGAAAGCCGGAUUAAUACCGUAUACGCCCUAUGGGGGAAAGAUUUAUCGCUAAAAGAUGGGCCCGCGUAAGAUUAGCUAGUUGGUGAGGUAAUGGCUCACCAAGGCUACGAUCUUUAGCUGGUUUGAGAGAAUGAUCAGCCACACUGGAACUGAGACACGGUCCAGACUCCUACGGGAGGCAGCAGUGGGGAAUAUUGGACAAUGGGCGCAAGCCUGAUCCAGCCAUGCCGCGUGAAUGAUGAAGGCCUUCGGGUUGUAAAACUCUUUCGACGGGGACGAUAAUGACGGUACCCGUAGAAGAAGCUCCGGCUAACUUCGUGCCAGCAGCCGC